ACUGAACGCUGGCGGCAUGCUUAAUACAUGCAAGUCGAGCGAGCGGCGGACGGGUGAGUAAUGUCUGGGAAACUGCCUGCCGUAGCGGGAUAACUACUGUAAACGGUAGCUAAUACUGCAUACCAUCAGAUCUGCUCAGACGGGAUUAGCUAGUAGGUGGGGUAAUGGCUCACCUAGGCGACGAUCCAUAGCUGGUCUGAGAGGAUGACCAGCCACACUGGGACUGAGACACGGUCCAGACUCCUACGGGAGGCAGCAGUGGGGAAUAUUGCACAAUGGGCGCAAGCCUGAUAUAGCCAUGCCGCGUGUGUGAAGAAGGCCUUCGGGUUGUAAAGCACUUUCAGCGAGGAGGCGUUACUCGCAGAAGAAGCACCGGCUAACUCCGUGCCAGCAGCCGCGGUAAUAC
rnacentral:rRNA from 1 species